rnacentral:rRNA from 1 species
AACGAACGCUGGCGGCAUGCCUAACACAUGCAAGUCGAACGAGACCUUCGGGUCUAGUGGCGCACGGGUGCGUAACGCGUGGGAACCUGCCCUUAGGUUCGGAAUAACUCCCCGAAAGGGGUGCUAAUACCGGAUAAUGUCUUCGGACCAAAGAUUUAUCGCCUUUGGAUGGGCCCGCGUUGGAUUAGCUAGUUGGUAGGGUAAAAGCCUACCAAGGCGACGAUCCAUAGCUGGUCUGAGAGGAUGAUCAGCCACACUGGGACUGAGACGCGGCCCAGACACAUACGGGAGGGAGCAGUGUGGAAUAUGGGAAAAGGGGGGAAGGUCUGAUCGAGCUAGGCCGCGGGAGGGAUAAAGACAUUAGGGAGAUAAAGCGCUUUAACCAGGGAGGUGAAUGAAAGGACAGGGAGAAUAAGGACCAGCAAGCUCCGUA